GGAUAUAGCUCAAUUGGUAUAGUGCUUGCUUCACAUGCAAAAGGCCCUGGGCUCAAUUCCCAGCACUGCCA
rnacentral:tRNA from 1 species